rnacentral:rRNA from 1 species
GAUGAACGCUGACAGAAUGCUUAACACAUGCAAGUCAACUUGAACUUCGGUUUGGGUGGCGGACGGGUGAGUAACGCGUAAAGAACUUGCCUCACAGCUAGGGACAACAUUUGGAAACGAAUGCUAAUACCUGAUAUUAUGAUUUUAGGGCAUCCUAGAAUUAUGAAAGCUAUAUGCGCUGUGGGAGAGCUUUGCGUCCCAUUAGCUAGUUGGAGAGGUAACGGCUCACCAAGGCGAUGAUGGGUAGCCGGCCUGAGAGGGUGAACGGCCACAAGGGGACUGAGACACGGCCCUUACUCCUACGGGAGGCAGCAGUGGGGAAUAUUGGACAAUGGACCAAGAGUCUGAUCCAGCAAUUCUGUGUGCACGAUGAAGUUUUUCGGAAUGUAAAGUGCUUUCAGUUGGGAAGAAAAAAAUGACGGUACCAACAGAAGAAGUGACGGCUAAAUACGUG